UUAACGCUGAGGUGUGAUGACGAGGCACUACGGUGCUGAAGUAACAAAUGCCCUGCUUCCAGGAAAAGCCUCUAAGCAUCAGGUAACAUUAAAUCGUACCCCAAACCGACACAGGUGGUCAGGUAGAGAAUACCAAGGCGCUUGAGAGAACUCGGGUGAAGGAACUAGGCAAAAUGGUGCCGUAACUUCGGGAGAAGGCACGCUGAUAUGUAGGUGAAGCCCCUGCGGGUGGAGCUGAAAUCAGUCGAAGAUACCAGCUGGCUGCAACUGUUUAUUAAAAACACAGCACUGUGCAAACACGAAAGUGGACGUAUACGGUGUGACGCCUGCCCGGUGCCGGAAGGUUAAUUGAUGGGGUUAUCCGUAAGGAGAAGCUCUUGAUCGAAGCCCCGGUAAACGGCGGCCGUAACUAUAACGGUCCUAAGGUAGCGAAAUUCCUUGUCGGGUAAGUUCCGACCUGCACGAAUGGCGUAAUGAUGGCCAGGCUGUCUCCACCCGAGACUCAGUGAAAUUGAACUCGCUGUGAAGAUGCAGUGUACCCGCGGCAAGACGGAAAGACCCCGUGAACCUUUACUAUAGCUUGACACUGAACAUUGAGCCUUGAUGUGUAGGAUAGGUGGGAGGCUUUGAAGCGUGGACGCCAGUCUGCGUGGAGCCAACCUUGAAAUACCACCCUUUAAUGUUUGAUGUUCUAACGUUGGCCCCUAAUCGGGGUUGCGGACAGUGUCUGGUGGGUAGUUUGACUGGGGCGGUCUCCUCCCAAAGAGUAACGGAGGAGCACGAAGGUUAGCUAAUCCUGGUCGGACAUCAGGAGGUUAGUGCAAUGGCAUAAGCUAGCUUGACUGCGAGCGUGACGGCGCGAGCAGGUGCGAAAGCAGGUCAUAGUGAUCCGGUGGUUCUGAAUGGAAGGGCCAUCGCUCAACGGAUAAAAGGUACUCCGGGGAUAACAGGCUGAUACCGCCCAAGAGUUCAUAUCGACGGCGGUGUUUGGCACCUCGAUGUCGGCUCAUCACAUCCUGGGGCUGAAGUAGGUCCCAAGGGUAUGGCUGUUCGCCAUUUAAAGUGGUACGCGAGCUGGGUUUAGAACGUCGUGAGACAGUUCGGUCCCUAUCUGCCGUGGGCGCUGGAGAAUUGAGGGGGGCUGCUCCUAGUACGAGAGGACCGGAGUGGACGCAUCACUGGUGUUCGGGUUGUCAUGCCAAUGGCAUUGCCCGGUAGCUAAAUGCGGAAGAGAUAAGUGCUGAAAGCAUCUAAGCACGAAACUUGCCCCGAGAUGAGUUCUCCCUGAGACUUUAAGUCUCCUGAAGGAACGUUAAAGACGAUGACGUUGAUAGGUCGGGUGUGUAAGCGUAGCGAUACGUUGAGCUAACCGAUACUAAUGAACCGUGAGGCUUAACCUUACAACGCCGAAG
rnacentral:rRNA from 1 species